AGCCGCCGCAGUGACUGCGCAGAAUGGCUGGAGCGGGCGGCUGCGACGGCGAAGUCCCGGCGCCGGGGAUGGAGAGCCUGAGCCAGGGCAAGGGGAGGAGCAGAAGAGAAAAGGAGCAGAGGAGAAAAGAAUCACAAGUGGAUUCCACGCUGAAUGUGGAGCCCCUCAUAGGGCUCAAACUCAUAACCCUGAGAUCAUGGCCUAAGCCAAAACCAAGAGUCAGUCCACUGACUGAGCCACCCAGGAAAAGAAGAGAAAGAGACUGGAACGCUUUGGACUCCUUUGAUACUCUACAUUAACAUUUCCUCUCCAAGUGUUAUAUAUCAAAGUGAAGAUAAUGGCCAAAUUAAAAUAUUUCAGUGUUCUUUCUUAUCACCAAUACAUCAAUAUUUUCAUUGACAUUGAAUAUGUAAUUGUCUCAUAAUGUCACUGUUAUAUCUUAUAAUAUUUUAAAAGUAUUUAUCCAAGUGUAUUAAAUUACUAGAGAUACUUUUUAAAAAAGAUUCAGUUUAUUUAUUCAUGAGAGAUAGAGACAGAGACACAGGCAGAGGCAGAAGCAGGCUCCCUGCAGGGACAUCACGAUGCAGGACUCGAUCCUGGGACUCUGGGGUCAUGCCCUGAGCCAAAGGGAAAUGUUCAACCACUGAGCCACCCAGGCCCCCCUACUCUAGAUAUUUUAAGUUGAUUGUAGUAUAUUAUGUUUUAAGAACAAACAAAAAAGCCAAAACUGUAUAGUUACAUUUACAUGGAAUUCACAAAUUAUGGUUACUUUGACUUCCUUUAGGUGAGUUAUUAUUGAAUAUUUAUCAUAAAAAUAUUGAAUUUCCUUAUGGUGACCUUGGAUUAAAUACAACUACAGAUUAGCUGAAUACUGGUCAAAAUAAAUUAUAAGCUCAAGCUUCAUUAUCAUUUGUAGUUUGAACAUAACAAAUCUGAUACAGUGUUACUUCAUAAUUCUGAUGCUCUUUGCAGUAAAUUUGAUAUAGAACAGUUGCUAAAGAAACCGUGUUCAAAUGUGUGACCAUUUUUAUGGAAAACAUCUGGGGUAAUUAUAAUUAGUUCAGGAUGUGUACUGUUUAAAAAUAAUCUUGAAUUCAUGGAGAAAGAAGUGUAUCUUCAAUGAGUAGAAUAAUCCAAGUUAGUAUAAAAAAUUCUUUAAGUUAUUGGUAGCUGUGCUUAGAGUAUAAUUUUAGAGUAUUCCAAAAGGAAAUGAGUAACUUUUAUGUAAAAUGCCAAUUUGGCACUUUACACCUGUUAGUGUGUUUCGUUUAGAACAGCUGUGUCUUUUAUUAUCAGUAAACAGAUGCAGAAAGUAAUGGAAUGUUUUAAAGCAAUAUGUUAAUCCUGUCUUCCACUACUGAACUGUCUCACAAUAUAGUGAUUAAAUAUUGACUGUGCAGCUGUUGCUUACAAUUAUAGAAUUUCUUAGUUAAUUUCUCCUUCCCAGGCCCAAAUGAGAUCUAAUUUCUAAUCUUAAAGUGUUCAUUAUGUAGUUUAUUAUAAUUUGAUUUCUAAGGAUAAUAUAUUUGAUUCUUGAGAUAGAUUCAUAUGUUUAUAAAACGAUUGUUUCUGAAUUGACUAAUAUUCUAAGUGGCAUAAAUAAUUUUUAAAAGUAUUUUAAAAAGUAAAUUUGUUCCUGAAUAUGAAGAUGACUAUUUAAAUGUAACAAUUUCAUGCUUGAAAACUGCCAUCAAUGAAAUAAAAAGGGAAUUAUGGUUGUUUUAUC
rnacentral:lncRNA from 1 species